CCUACGGGAGGCUGCAGUGGGGGAUAUUGGACAAUGGGGGGAACCCUGAUCCAGCGACGCCGCGUGAGUGAAGAAGUAUUUCGGUAUGUAAAGCGCUGUCAGCAGGGAAGAAAGAAAGGACGGUACCUGACCAAGAAGCCCCGGCUAACUACGUGCCAGCAGCCGCGGUAAUACGUAGGGGGCAAGCGUUAUCCGGAAUUACUGGGUGUAAAGGGAGGGUAGGCGGUUAAGUAAGUCUGGAGUGAAAGGCCGGGGCCUAACCCCGGGACUGCUGUGGAAACUAGUGAACUGGAGUGCAGGAGAGGUAAGCGGAAUUCGUGGUGUAGCGGUGAAAUGCGUAGAUAUUAGGAGGAACACCAGUGGCGAAGGCGGCUUACUGGACUGUAACUGACGUUGAGGCACGAAAGCGUGGGGAGCAAACAGGAUUAGAUACCCUUGUAGUC
rnacentral:rRNA from 1 species